rnacentral:misc_RNA from 1 species
UUUCCGUAGGUGAACCUGCGGAAGGAUCAUUAUUGAAACUUCAUCCGGGGCGCCGCGGCCCUCAGCACCGGUGGAAACGCCGUGCUGCGGGGGGCGCGCGUGCACUCGUCCAAACCAAACCCCUGUGAACCUUACGGGAUGGCCCGGGUUAGCGCCCGGUGCCGUUCCGCUUUAUACAAACACUUAUCAAAGAAUGAACUGAAGGCGGUCUGACCGCUGGAUAACAAACUGAAACAACUUUCAACAACGGAUCUCUUGGCUCUC